rnacentral:tRNA from 1 species
GGAGAGGUGGCCGAGCGGAUUAAGGCAACUGUCCCGAAAACAGCCAAGGGAAACCUUCGUGGGUUCGAAUCCCACCCUCUCCGCCA